AUUGAACGAGGGAGGAAGGAAGGACACAUGCAAGUCGAACGGUAACAGGAAGCAGCUUGCUGCUUCGCUGACGAGUGGCGGACGGGUGAGUAAUGUCUGGGAAACUGCCUGAUGGAGGGGGAUAACUACUGGAAACGGUAGCUAAUACCGCAUAACGUCGCAAGACCAAAGAGGGGGACCUUAGGGCCUCUUGCCAUCGGAUGUGCCCAGAUGGGAUUAGCUAGUAGGUGGGGUAACGGCUCACCUAGGCGACGAUCCCUAGCUGGUCUGAGAGGAUGACCAGCCACACUGGAACUGAGACACGGUCCAGACUCCUACGGGAGGCAGCAGUGGGGAAUAUUGCACAAAGGGCGCAAGCCUGAUGCAGCCAUGCCGCGUGUAUGAAGAAGGCCUUCGGGUUGUAAAGUACUUUCAGCGGGGAGGAAGGGAGUAAAGUUAAUACCUUUGCUCAUUGACGUUACCCGCAGAAGAAGCACCGGCUAACUCCGUG
rnacentral:rRNA from 1 species